GAUGAAGAACGCAGCGAAAUGCGAUACGUAAUGUGAAUUGCAGAAUUCAGUGAAUCAUCGAAUCUUUGAACGCAUAUUGCGCUCUCUGGUAUUCCGGAGAGCAUGCUUGUUUGAGUAUCAGUAAACACCUCAACUUCCAUAUCUUUUUUGAAAUGGGAGUUGGACUUGAGUGAUCCCAACGCUUUUCCUCACCGAAAAGUGGCGGGUUACUUGAAAUGCAGGUGCAGCUGGACUUUUCUCUGAGCUAUAAGCAUAUCUAUUUAGUCUGCCUAAAAAACAGAUUAUUACCUUUGCUGCAGCUAACAUAAAGGAGAUUAGUUCUUGUGCUGACUGAUGCAGGAUUCACAAAGACGGCUUCGGCCGACUUUGUAAACUCGAUCACAAAUCAAGUAAGACUACCCGCUGAACUUAAGCAUAUCAAUAAGCGGAGGA
rnacentral:misc_RNA from 1 species